UUCGCCCUUAGAGUUGAUCCUGGCUCACGACGAACGUUGGCGGCGCGCCUAACACAUGCAAGUCGAACGAGAGAGAGGGAGCUUGCUUCCUCAAUCGAGUGGCGAACGGGUGAGUAACGCGUGAGGAACCUGCCUCAAAGAGGGGGACAACAGUUGGAAACGACUGCUAAUACCGCAUAAGCCCACAGCUCGGCAUCGAGCAGAGGGAAAAGGAGCAAUCCGCUUUGAGAUGGCCUCGCGUCCGAUUAGCUGGUUGGUGAGGUAACGGCCCACCAAGGCGACGAUCGGUAGCCGGACUGAGAGGUUGAACGGCCACAUUGGGACUGAGACACGGCCCAGACUCCUACGGGAGGCAGCAGUGGGGAAUAUUGCACAAUGGGGGAAACCCUGAUGCAGCGACGCCGCGUGGAGGAAGAAGGUCUUCGGAUUGUAAACUCCUGUUGUUGAGGAAGAUAAUGACGGUACUCAACAAGGAAGUGACGGCUAACUACGUGCCAGCAGCCGCGGUAAAACGUAGGUCACAAGCGUUGUCCGGAAUUACUGGGUGUAAAGGGAGCGCAGGCGGGAAGACAAGUUGGAAGUGAAAUCUAUGGGCUCAACCCAUAAACUGCUUUCAAAACUGUUUUCUUGAGUAGUGCAGAGGUAGGCGGAAUUCCCGGUGUAGCGGUGGAAUGCGUAAAUAUCGGAAGGAACACCAGUGGCGAAGGCGGCCUACUGGGCACCAACUGACGCUGAGCUCGAAAAGUGUGGUUAGCAAACAGGAUUAGAUACCUGGUAGUCCACACCGUAAACGAUGAUUACUAGGUGUUGGAGGAUUGACCCCUUCAGUGCCGCAGUUAACACAAUAAGUAAUCCACCUGGGGAGUACGACCGCAAGGUUGAAACUCAAAGGAAUUGACGGGGGCCCGCACAAGCAGUGGAGUAUGUGGUUUAAUUCGACGCAACGCGAAGAACCUUACCAAGUCUUGACAUCCUGCGACGGACAUAGAAAUAUGUGUUUCCUUCGGGACGCAGAGACAGGUGGUGCAUGGUUGUCGUCAGCUCGUGUCGUGAGAUGUUGGGUUAAGUCCCGCAACGAGCGCAACCCUUACUGUCAGUUACUACGCAAGAGGACUCUGGCAGGACUGCCGUUGACAAAACGGAGGAAGGUGGGGAUGACGUCAAAUCAUCAUGCCCUUUAUGACUUGGGCUACACACGUACUACAAUGGCGUUAAACAAAGAGAAGCAAGACCGCGAGGUGGAGCAAAACUCAGAAACAACGUCCCAGUUCGGACUGCAGGCUGCAACUCGCCUGCACGAAGUCGGAAUUGCUAGUAAUCGUGGAUCAGCAUGCCACGGUGAAUACGUUCCCGGGCAUUGUACACAGCGCCCGUC
rnacentral:rRNA from 1 species